GAUGAAGAACGCAGCGAAAUGCGAUAAGUAAUGCGAAUUGCAGAAUUCAGUGAGUCAUCGAAUCUUUGAACGCACAUUGCGCCCUGUGGUAUUCCGCAGGGCAUGCCUGUUCGAGCGUCAUUUCAACCCUCAAGCCCCGCUUGGUGUUGGGCCCCGCCCGCCGUGGCCGGCCCUAAAGACAGUGGCGGCGCCGCCUGGCCCUCAGCGUAGUACAGCUCUCGCUCCAGGGUCCGGCGGCCGCCUGCCAGAACCGCCCCAACUCUGUGGUUGACCUCGGAUCAGGUAGGGAUACCCGCUGAACUUAAGCAUAUCAAUAAGCGGAGGA
rnacentral:misc_RNA from 1 species